UUUGGGUUCUUUUUCUAUUCACUCAUGUCAGAUAGAGACAUGCAUGUUGUAAAUUAUUUUGUCAGAAUGAAAGCCUGGCAGAUUAAAUGCUUUCUUCUCUUCUUGCUUUACUUGAUAUCAAUCUCUUGUUCAUUUCUUGAUAAUAUGUUUGGUUAUUUUUGUUUUCAUUGCUUUUAGUGUCAGAGAUGGCUUUGGAUUCCCCGUUCUGUGUGCUGCUGUCUGGCUCCUGAACCCAGCUGUAGAGGUGUGUGUCAAUCCCAACUGGUGAAGUACUGAGAAGAAGCUACACAAAAGGCAGCAAAGUAUUAGUGAGUAGUGUCAUUGAGCAAACACAAAGUCGGGCUCAUCCAAGGAUGAGAUUUUGCCAGAGAAAGGACGAGCAGCAAGUCAGGGAGCUUAAGGUUCUAGAAAGGAAAUCCCUCACAGCAACUGGCACCAUAAUCAAGACAGAAUUUUUGCAGAAUAAAUGGAGUUACCUGCUUUCAGCCCCAGGUCGUAGCUAUUGUCUGCCCUGCUGAUAUGUGAUAAUAAUUUGUGAUCCUGUUGUCUU
rnacentral:lncRNA from 1 species